rnacentral:rRNA from 1 species
UACGUAGGGCGCAGGCGUUGUCCGGAAUUAUUGGGCGUAAAGAGCUCGUAGGCGGCCUGUCGCGUCUGCUGUGAAAUCCCGGGGCUUAACCCCGGGCGUGCAGUGGAUACGGGCUGGCUGGAGGCAGGCAGGGGAGAACGGAAUUCCCGGUGUAGCGGUGAAAUGCGCAGAUAUCGGGAGGAACACCGGUGGCGAAGGCGGUUCUCUGGGCCUGUUCUGACGCUGAGGAGCGAAAGCGUGGGGAGCGAACAGG